ACAUCUCAACUCUCAUGGUUUUCUGUGAUGAGAUUGGACUUUGGGGGUCUUGUUGGCUUGUGUUCAGCUCCCCUCAAAUCUAUCAGCUUUCCAGUGUUUGGUGGCAUCACGGGUGUGAUAAAUAUCUACGCUUGUGGUUGUUUGCCAGGUCUGUCCUCUCCUCACAGAGGGGGCUUGCUGGAGCUCAUAGAUGUCUCUCCUUUGUGGAGACAGCUGUUUGAA
rnacentral:misc_RNA from 2 species